rnacentral:tRNA from 2 species
GGAGGGGUGGCCGAGUGGUUUAAGGCAGCGGUCUUGAAAACCGCCGGCUGGCUCCGCCAGCCCGUGGGUUCGAAUCCCACCCCCUCCGCCC